AACGAACGCUGGCGGCAGGCUUAACACAUGCAAGUCGAGCGCCCCGCAAGGGGAGCGGCAGACGGGUGAGUAACGCGUGGGAAUCCACCCAUCUCUACGGAAUAACGCAUGGAAACGUGUGCUAAUACCGUAUACGUCCUUCGGGAGAAAGAUUCAUCGGAGAUGGAUGAGCCCGCGUUGGAUUAGCUAGUUGGUGGGGUAAAGGCCUACCAAGGCGACGAUCCAUAGCUGGUCUGAGAGGAUGAUCAGCCACACUGGGACUGAGACACGGCCCAGACUCCUACGGGAGGCAGCAGUGGGGAAUAUUGGACAAUGGGCGCAAGCCUGAUCCAGCCAUGCCGCGUGAGUGAUGAAGGCCCUAGGGUUGUAAAGCUCUUUCACCGGUGAAGAUAAUGACGGUAACCGGAGAAGAAGCCCCGGCUAACUUCGUGCCAGCAGCCGCGGUAACAC
rnacentral:rRNA from 1 species